GAUGAACGCUGACAGAAUGCUUAACACAUGCAAGUCAACUUGAACUUCGGUUUGGGUGGCGGACGGGUGAGUAACGCGUAAAGAACUUGCCUCACAGCUAGGGACAACAUUUGGAAACGAAUGCUAAUACCUGAUAUUAUGAUUUUAGGGCAUCCUAGAAUUAUGAAAGCUAUAUGCGCUGUGAGAGAGCUUUGCGUCCCCUUAGCUAGUUGGAGAGGUAACGGCUCACCAAGGCGAUGAUGGGUAGCCGGCCUGAGAGGGUGAACGGCCACAAGGGGACUGAGACACGGCCCUUACUCCUACGGGAGGCAGCAGUGGGGAAUAUGGGACAAUGGACCAAGAGUCUGAUACAGCAAUUCUGUGUGCACGAUGAAGUUUUUCGGAAUGUAAAGUGCUUUCAGUUGGGAAGAAAAAAAUGACGGUACCAACAGAAGAAGUGACGGCUAAAUACGUG
rnacentral:rRNA from 1 species